rnacentral:rRNA from 1 species
GGGGCAUUGGUUUCAAUCAUGCAGUGCGGCGCGGCCCCCGAGGAGCGGAAACAAUCCUUGGGAGGUAUGCGGGGGCUUCGAGCCCCCCAUUUACGCACGCACGACUGCCAUCCUUACUUUACGAGCACCUUCUGUUCUCCCUCGGCGGGGCAACCUGCCGUUGGAACCGAAUAAACUCUUUUUGCAUCUAGCAUUACCUGUUCCGAAACAAACAAUCGUUACAACUUUCAACAAUGGAUCUCUUGGCUCUGGCAUCGAUGAAGAACGCAGCGAAAUGCGAUAAGUAGUGUGAAUUGCAGAAUUCAGUGAAUCAUCGAAUCUUUGAACGCACAUUGCGCCCCUCGGUAUUCCGUGGGGCAUGCCUGUUCGAGCGUCAUCUACACCCUCAAGCUCUGCUUGGUGUUGGGCGUCUGUCCCGCCUCCGCGCGUGGACUCGCCCCAAAUUCAUUGGCAGCGGUCCUUGCCUCCUCUCGCGCAGCACAUUGCGCUUCUCGAGGGGCUACGGCUCGCGUCCAACAAGCACAUUUACCGUCUUUGACCUCGGAUCAGGUAGGGAUACCCGCUGAACUUAAGCAUAUCAAA